rnacentral:tRNA from 1 species
GCGGUUGUAGCCCAGUGGUAGAGCGCAUGCCUAGCAUGCAUGAGGCACUGGGUUCCAUUCUCAGCAUCACA